rnacentral:rRNA from 1 species
UGGGGAAUAUUGCACAAUGGGCGAAAGCCUGAUGCAGCAACGCCGCGUGAGUGAUGAAGGUCUUCGGAUUGUAAAGCUCUGUCUUUUGGGACGAUAAUGACGGUACCAAAGGAGGAAGCCACGGCUAACUACGUGCCAGCAGCCGCGGUAAUACGUAGGUGGCGAGCGUUGUCCGGAUUUACUGGGCGUAAAGGGUGCGUAGGCGGAUGUUUAAGUGAGAUGUGAAAUACCCGGGCUUAACUUGGGUGCUGCAUUUCAAACUGGAUAUCUAGAGUGCAGGAGAGGAGAAUGGAAUUCCUAGUGUAGCGGUGAAAUGCGUAGAGAUUAGGAAGAACACCAGUGGCGAAGGCGAUUCUCUGGACUGUAACUGACGCUGAGGUACGAAAGCGUGGGUAGCAAACAGGAUUAGAUACCCUGGUAGUCCACGCCGUAAACGAUGAGUACUAGGUGUAGGAGGUAUCGACCCCUUCUGUGCCGCAGUAAACACAUUAAGUACUCCGCCUGGGAAGUACGAUCGCAAGAUUAAA